GACGAACGCUGGCGGCGUGCUUAACACAUGCAAGUCGAACGGAGAUUCAGCAAUGGAUCUUAGUGGCGAACGGGUGAGUAACGCGUAGGCAAUCUGCCUUCUAGAUGGGGACAACAUCCCGAAAGGGGUGCUAAUACCGAAUGUUGUAGUUGGUUCGCAUGGACUAGCUACUAAAGGUGGCCUCUGAAUAUGCUUCCGCUAGAAGAUGAGCCUGCGUCUGAUUAGCUAGUUGGAGGGUAACGGCC
rnacentral:rRNA from 1 species